rnacentral:rRNA from 1 species
CCAGACUCCUACGGGAGGCAGCCGUGGGGACUCUUGCACAAUGGGGGACCCCCUGAUGCAGCGACGCCGCGUGCGUGACGAAGUAUCUCGGUAUGUAAAGCUCUAUCAGCAGGAAAGAUAAUGACGGUACCUGACUAAGAAGCCCCGGCUAACUACGUGCCAGCAGCCGCGGUCCUACGUAGGGGGCAAGCGUUAUCCGGAUUUACUGGGGGUCAAGGGAGCGUAGACGGCAGCGCAAGUCUGGAGUGAAAGGCCGGGGCCCAACCCCGGAACGGCGGGGGAAACGGGGCGGCGCGAGGGCGGGAGAGGUAGGCGGAAUGCCUAGGGGAGCGGUGAAAGGCGGAGAGAGUAGGAGGAACACCAGGGGCGAAGGCGGCUGACGGGACCGGAACUGACGGGGAGGCGCGAAAGCGGGGGGAGCAAACAGGAGGAGAGACCCGCGUAC